rnacentral:rRNA from 1 species
AAAUUGAAGAGUUUGAUCAUGGCUCAGAUUGAACGCUGGCGGCAGGCCUAACACAUGCAAGUCGAACGGUAACAGGAAGAAGCUUGCUUCUUUGCUGACGAGUGGCGGACGGGUGAGUAAUGUCUGGGAAACUGCCUGAUGGAGGGGGAUAACUACUGGAAACGGUAGCUAAUACCGCAUAACGUCGCAAGACCAAAGAGGGGGACCUUCGGGCCUCUUGCCAUCGGAUGUGCCCAGAUGGGAUUAGCUUGUUGGUGGGGUAACGGCUCACCAAGGCGACGAUCCCUAGCUGGUCUGAGAGGAUGACCAGCCACACUGGAACUGAGACACGGUCCAGACUCCUACGGGAGGCAGCAGUGGGGAAUAUUGCACAAUGGGCGCAAGCCUGAUGCAGCCAUGCCGCGUGUAUGAAGAAGGCCUUCGGGUUGUAAAGUACUUUCAGCGGGGAGGAAGGGAGUAAAGUUAAUACCUUUGCUCAUUGACGUUACCCGCAGAAGAAGCACCGGCUAACUCCGUGCCAGCAGCCGCGGUAAUACGGAGGGUGCAAGCGUUAAUCGGAAUUACUGGGCGUAAAGCGCACGCAGGCGGUUUGUUAAGUCAGAUGUGAAAUCCCCGGGCUCAACCUGGGAACUGCAUCUGAUACUGGCAAGCUUGAGUCUCGUAGAGGGGGGUAGAAUUCCAGGUGUAGCGGUGAAAUGCGUAGAGAUCUGGAGGAAUACCGGUGGCGAAGGCGGCCCCCUGGACGAAGACUGACGCUCAGGUGCGAAAGCGUGGGGAGCAAACAGGAUUAGAUACCCUGGUAGUCCACGCCGUAAACGAUGUCGACUUGGAGGUUGUGCCCUUGAGGCGUGGCUUCCGGAGCUAACGCGUUAAGUCGACCGCCUGGGGAGUACGGCCGCAAGGUUAAAACUCAAAUGAAUUGACGGGGGCCCGCACAAGCGGUGGAGCAUGUGGUUUAAUUCGAUGCAACGCGAAGAACCUUACCUGGUCUUGACAUCCACGGAAGUUUUCAGAGAUGAGAAUGUGCCUUCGGGAACCGUGAGGCAGGUGCUGCAUGGCUGUCGUCAGCUCGUGUUGUGAAAUGUUGGGUUAAGUCCCGCAACGAGCGCAACCCUUAUCCUUUGUUGCCAGCGGUCCGGCCGGGAACUCAAAGGAGACUGCCAGUGAUAAACUGGAGGAAGGUGGGGAUGACGUCAAGUCAUCAUGGCCCUUACGACCAGGGCUACACACGUGCUACAAUGGCGCAUACAAAGAGAAGCGACCUCGCGAGAGCAAGCGGACCUCAUAAAGUGCGUCGUAGUCCGGAUUGGAGUCUGCAACUCGACUCCAUGAAGUCGGAAUCGCUAGUAAUCGUGGAUCAGAAUGCCACGGUGAAUACGUUCCCGGGCCUUGUACACACCGCCCGUCACACCAUGGGAGUGGGUUGCAAAAGAAGUAGGUAGCUUAACCUUCGGGAGGGCGCUUACCACUUUGUGAUUCAUGACUGGGGUGAAGUCGUAACAAGGUAACCGUAGGGGAACCUGCGGUUGGAUCAC